GAUGAACGCUGGCGGCGUGCUUAACACAUGCAAGUCGAACGGUGAAGAAGAGCUUGCUCUUCGGAUCAGUGGCGAACGGGUGAGUAACACGUGAGCAAUCUGCCCCUGACUCUGGGAUAACAGCUGGAAACAGCUGCUAAUACCGGAUACGAGCUGCGAAGGCAUCUUCAGCAGCUGGAAAGAACUUCGGUCAGGGAUGAGCUCGCGGCCUAUCAGCUUGUUGGUGAGGUAACGGCUCACCAAGGCGUCGACGGGUAGCCGGCCUGAGAGGGUGACCGGCCACACUGGGACUGAGACACGGCCCAGACUCCUACGGGAGGCAGCAGUGGGGAAUAUUGCACAAUGGGCGCAAGCCUGAUGCAGCAACGCCGCGUGAGGGACGACGGCCUUCGGGUUGUAAACCUCUUUUAGCAGGGAAGAAGCGAAAGUGACGGUACCUGCAGAAAAAGCGCCGGCUAACUACGUGCCAGCAGCCGCUGUAA
rnacentral:rRNA from 1 species